rnacentral:tRNA from 1 species
UAAUUUGAAGCAAUAUAUUGCAAUUAGUUUCGACCUAAUUAUUAGAUAAUAUUUUACUUAU